GGCAGUGGUAGCUCAGUGGUUAAGACCUUGGGCUACUGACUGAAAGGUGGUUAAGUUCAAAUCUCAGCACUGCCA